rnacentral:rRNA from 1 species
UACGUAGGAGGCGAGCGUUGUCCGGAAUUAUUGGGCGUAAAGAGCUCGUAGGCGGCCUGUUGCGUCCGCUGUGAAAGCCCGGGGCUUAACCCCGGGUCGGCAGUGGAUACGGGCAGGCUAGAGGUAGGUAGGGGAGAAUGGAAUUCCCGGUGUAGCGGUGAAAUGCGCAGAUAUCGGGAGGAACACCGGUGGCGAAGGCGGUUCUCUGGGCCUUACCUGACGCUGAGGAGCGAAAGCGUGGGGAGCGAACAGG